CAGAAAAUGGUUUUUUAAAAAUAAUAAUUUUGGAGAUUAUAGAUAGAUUGGUGUAUUUGUUUCUGA
rnacentral:tRNA from 1 species